UGCAACGUGAACGUUCCUCAAAAAUUCAAUCCAGACAUCGAAGUGAUCGGAGUGGAAUGGUGAACGUACGGCAAGCUGUGGUAAGUAAUGCUUAAAAUUUAAUGUGCUAUAAUGUGCUAUAAAAUUUAAUUGGUACUCAUUUAACUGUUAUAACGUUAUGUAGAAAAAGGAUCUCGAAGUUGCAGAUCCCCCCCGCCACCGUGUUUGGAUUAAAUCUCGCACCAAGAGUCGAAAACUUGUCACUGAUUACGACAAGGAAAUUGCAGAGAAGAUAGCUCAAUUAGAGGAGAAGCUUAGUCAGGGACAAAUUCAGGUCCAGGGCCAAAACGAUAUCCUGACGCAGGCGCUCGGGACACCAGAGCAUCCUGGACGUGUCAGGGCUGCUGGGUUCCUGACCAGGGCAUCUCAACUGUUCGGCAGGAAGAAAAGGGAAGUGUCUGAUGUUGUGGCUCGGCAAGCGAAGGAGAUUGAAAAAUUACAAG